UGCCUCUCUCUGCCUGUGUCUCUCUCUCAGUGAGCGAACAUUCAGUCUCUCUCUUACUCUCUGAGUCGUCAGGUUGAAUUUCUCUCUUCUUUUUCCCUUGUUAUGACCCAUUUGAGGAGCACCUUCCAUAGAGACAGACACACCAAGAUGAACGGUGAGCUGAGAGCUGUUCGCACCACUACAGGCAAGAGAGGAAGCAGCGAUCAUGACAGGGUUUUUGAUUAUCAGCGCGUCCCCUCUUCAGUCCCAGUGGAUCCCAUUCCUGUCAAAAGGCCACGCCCUUCAUCUUCCUCCUCUUCCUCAUCAUCUUCCUCCACAGUGGCUCUGAGGAUGAAGAACAGUAGAGCGACCAACAGGAACAACAAGACACACACCUCUGCGUCUGGCAGCAGCAAUGUUAAAUUGAAGAUGGCAGAGCUUCUUGCCAUAAAGAGUGAGCUGACAGUGAUCAAGGUUCAGAUUGAUGGCCUGUUGGACUGCGUAGACAAGAUGGACAGACAGCGGAAGGACUGUUCAGAGUGUCCUCAGAGCAGGGAGUCCAGUGUGUUGAACUCUCCUCACCAAGGUUCAGUCUGCAGUGUGGAGAGAGAGAGUCCUGAACCAGGAGAGGCCAGUGCAGAUGAGUCACUGCACUACCAGGACUACUACCCCCACAGCUACUCCCACAGGCUACCCCAACAGGGCAAAUACUGUGUGUACCACUACAACCCCCAUGUGGCGAUUAUAUACCCAAUACCAUCAAAGUCAGGGGUUUAAAUGGGCUGGAGCCCACUGGCCUUGGCCUCCUGAUAUCACAGUCCUGCCAGAGUUUUUCAAUCCUUGUAGAACAGAGGCUCACAUUGGUAACAGCUGGUAUUGAAGAUGCUUCCAGAAGAUGUUGGCAACUUGACCUGCAUGAACUCUCCUCUACACCUGAAUUCAUCCAGUACCGUCAGUUUGAUUUGUAUUAUGUUGUACCAUCUUCUGUUCUGGUUUCCAGUUUACGCUGAUGGUAAAAUCUCAGUUGUGUUCCUCACACAUCACUGACACCAGCACUCUAUAUUAAAAAUAUCUUUUAACUUUAAAACCAUACUGGUUAGAUGAUCACCACUGAUUUCAACUACAGUAAUAUCAAUAGGUUCAAAAAAUUAGCUUACAGCAACUUCCUCUUAAGACCCAAGCUUUGGUUGGCCUUGCAUUUUAGAUUUCUUCAAAUUAUUUGGGAAAAGGAGUAACCAAUAAAUAUAAUAAUUGGAUAAUAUCAAAUAUCUCAUUAUUAUGUUUAUUAUAUUUAUAUUGUUAUUGUUGUUAUUAUUAUUAAUAUUCUUAUUUUGUUAUUAUUAUUAUUAUUAUUAUUAUUAUUAUUAUUAUUAUUAUUAUUAGUAGUAGUAGUAGUAGUAGUAGUAGUAUUAACAAUACGCUCUUUAAAAAAAAAAGAUGUUUAGGAGGUUAAAAUUUCUUCAUUCAAAUAAUUCUUUGUAAUGAGCAAUUUAUUAGAUUUUAUUUGGGAUUUUUUUAGUAAUGCAAUCAAGGGUCUGUCGACAUCUUUGCCUCAAUCAAACAACAUUUUAUUCAUUGGUCGCAAAGUUAACAUUGGACUGUAGAUGUAUUUUCUUCGCUUUUGGCCUGAUCCGUCCCCUAACCACGCUGUCCUGCUGGACUCCCCACUGAUCACCAUUAAUGAAGUCAGUUUGGCAGCAGCUGGCAGCUCCUUAUCACACAAUUUAUUUUCAUCAGGCCUGCUUUCAUUAUGUGUAACCAGCUGUGUGCAGGACUGCAUUAUAGUUCUGAGUUUAAGCCUGAAUGAGCAUAGUUUUAUGACUCCCUGGGUCUACACUGUUCAAUUCACUCAGAAAAACAGCUAUAAAGUGAUAUAUGGACUCUGACAAUUUCCUGAAAUGAACACUAGCUCAGAAGGAAAAUUGCAUGUAGUGGAUAUAAAUUGGAAGAUUACAAUUUUCCACCGUGAAUAUGAAUCUUUUUACGAUAACAUCCAUGACCGUGACAUUUUCAGCGGUUAGUUAAAUUCAAUUUUGCUGAAACUUUAUUUGAUCACUUGUUAGUUUAGGUUAGCAAACAAAUUUAUCAAGAAAAAUGUUAGAAUACAUUUAGCAGCUUAAUCACUGGCUUUAAAAUUAGCUUAAAGCACAGUUUUUGAUAAUUGGAUCUGCUCUUGGUUUGUUUCACAUUAACUCUUCAACGAUUAGUUUAGAUUUUUUGAAGUCGAGUUGUAAGAGCUACUUAUUGAUAGUUAGUUUAUUACCUAUAUUAGAUUGCAGUUGGCACAUCCACAGUUUGGACAUGCAGGAGUUUACGGCAUGGAAACUAAGCAAUGCAAUGUUGUGGAGAGGGACAGCAGCCAAAUAUAUUUUAGCCACCCAAAGAGACCCAACUGAAGAAUCACUAUCAGUUUAAGUGUAUGCUCACUUGCCCAUGUUCACUGUUAUGCUGAAAAUGACUUUCUGAUGACAAGAUAAAGCAGUUAAAAUAUUCCAAAUAUAGUGUGCACUUAAAAUAAUAUAGAUGUUUUGGGCUAUGCCUUUUUUUUUUUUAGGUUGCUAAAAUAUGUUUUGUUGCUGACUCUGUCCACAGCAAUCUUUGUGUCAGUACUCCUGUCUGCUUCUCCAAAUUGUGGGUGUGCCAGCUUCCAUCUAUACACUGACUAUGAAUAAGUACCUCACAAAACCCUACUUAGGUGAAGCUCUCAGUUUUGCAAGUUGGCCUUUGUUCCAACACUCACUUAUGGUCAUGAGUUCUAGGUGGUGACUGAAAGAACAAGAUUGUAACUACAAGUAGCCAAAAUGGGUUUUGUCUGUACGGUGGGUGGGUUGAGUCCUGAAAUCGAGAGAGGAGCUUGGACAUCCAUGAGUAGAUGGGGAUGGGAGUACAGUCGCUGAUCCUUCAUGUUGACAGGAGCCAGGUGGGGUGGUUUACCAUCUGAUUAGGAUGCCUAGUGGGCGGAAGUUUUCCGGGAAUGUCCAACUAGGGGGAGACCUCGAACCCAGAACCCAGAACCCAGAACCCAGAACUUCCUGGACUACACAUCUCAUCUGGCCUUGGAAUACCUCAGUAUCCUUCAGGAGGAACUGGAAAUUGUUGCUAGGGAGAGGGAAACUGCUGCCAUAAUGACCCAACGCUGAAUAAUUGGAAGAAAAUGGAUGGAUCCGCCAGUAGUUCUCAAAGAGUUAACAUUGUGCUACAGAUCAGUUUAGUGGAUUCUGUUUUCCUUAGAUUAGCUGAAGAACCAGUUUAACAGAGCAAAACCUGUGGUCCAGGUCAGCUAUUGCUUUGUUUAGGAGAUAAAAACAAUUAUAUUCAGGUUAUCCAGAGCAAAGUAUAAUAGCUUGGUUCAGUUUAGCUGGUGGAUUAAUUUGCAAGAUCAAAGAGUUAUUUUCAGAAAAGCCAGUACAGUUUAGGUGAAAUUAGCAAGUGGAUUAUUAUAGGCCAGUUUGUUUCAGGUUUCAGUGAGGACUACAGGUGUAAAUAAGCUGCUGACCCUUUUACACCAGCCUCUAUGAAAUGUCAGUACUGAUUAAUCUACACUGUCCACUUUGAUAGAUAAAUACAUUUCAAAAGAAAACUUGUCAGCAGGUGGAGACUGCAAUGAGACCAUCAGAUGAGAGUUGACAAUAAAAGUACCAGCUGGUUCAUGUUUCCUGAAAGAUGAUAAAGCCUUGCCCUGGCUUUGCAUUUCAAAUGCUUGUUGCAUGUGUCAGAUAUAGUAAUUUUCCGUCACUUUUACAUGUUAUUAAAAUCGCAGUGAAUUUAUGAUCACCGUCAGUGCAAAUGUGCAUGAGUAAAUACUAAAGGACUUUUUGUGGCCCAGAGUUGUACUGCCAUCGCACUGUUAAAUGACAGUUACACUGUGCUGCACCGCACACUUCUACGAAGACAACUCACAUAAAGUGUGUAGCAUUCAAUAUGCUAUCGUUACUUCUGCAAAAAUGGUUCAGUGUCAUAUUCAUUGGUUGGAGCCAUAUUGCAUUUUGUGAGAUAUUGUUCAUUCCACCAGAAUUUGGGUGAUGGUUUAAUGGAGAGUAUAACCACUAAAGUGUUGCCAAGUCAAACAUAUAAAGACUUGUCAAUAUAAACAGCAAUGACUGUAAAUAUGUUCAGAAUGUUCAUGUAAAAUAUUUGUUGUUUUAAAAAAAAGUGAUACUUGAAAUUAUUUAUGUGCAUAGUAGCGACUCUUUAUUUAAAAAAAAAUGUAUUUUAAAUAUUUUUUAAAAAGGUGAAAAUGUUUUAAUAAGAAAUCCUGUAACUGCAGACAGAAUUGUUUUGGAAACUUCAUUGUAGCUUCUGUUGACACUUUUGUGUUUGGUCAGUGCUAAAUGUUACCUAUUUCAUUGUGAAAGUAGUAAACAUGUUUUUCAUAGAACUUG
ensembl:lncRNA